rnacentral:rRNA from 1 species
UACGGAGGGGGCUAGCGUUGUUCGGAAUUACUGGGCGUAAAGCGCACGUAGGCGGCUUUGUAAGUUAGAGGUGAAAGCCCGGAGCUCAACUCCGGAAUUGCCUUUGAUACUGAGAAGCUUGAGUCCCGGGAGAGGUGAGUGGAACUGCGAGUGUAGAGGUGAAAUUCGUAGAUAUUCGCAAGAACACCAGUGGCGAAGGCGGCUCACUGGCCCGGUACUGACGCUGAGGUGCGAAAGCGUGGGAGCAACAGGAU